UACGUAGGGGGCUAGCGUUGUCCGGAAUCAUUGGGCGUAAAGAGCGCGUAGGCGGCCCGGUAAGUCUGCUGUAAAAGUCAAAGGCUUAACCUUUGAAAGUCAGUGGAUACUGCCGGGCUAGAGUCCGGGAAGAGGAGAAUGGAAUUCCUGGUGUAGCGGUGAAAUGCGCAGAUAUCAGGAAGAACACCCGUGGCGAAGGCGGUUCUCUGGGACGGUACUGA
rnacentral:rRNA from 1 species